GAACAGAGAUCCUAUAUAAUUGGAAUGAACCCUGUGUUUAUGGAUUGAAAGACAUAAUAUUGUUAAGACGGCAACACUGCCUGAGAUGGUCUACAGAUUCACUGCAAUCCCUAGCAAAUCUCUAACGGCCUUUCUUUUUUUUUUUUUUAAUUACAGAAUUGGAAAAGCCAAUCUUCAAAUUCGUAUGGAAUUGUAAGGGCCCCAAAUAGACAAAACAGUCUUGAAAAAGAAGAACAAAUUUGGAGGACUCACACUUUCUGAUUUCAAAACUUACUACAAAGCUACAUAAUCACAACAAGGUGCUACUGGCAUAAGGACAGACAUACAGAUCAAUAGAACUAUUUUUGUUUUAAAUGCCUACUACAAUGUAAGUUUGGAGUUAUAAGGCCUUGGAUGAAGUCCCAUAUUGUUCAGAGGAUUGAAUGUAAUAAUACAGCACUUGACAUACUGCCUAUCAACUAAGAGAGAGAGCAUGAGCAGGGGGGAAGAGCAGAAUGGAAGGGAGCAGAAGGGGGAAAGAAUCUCAAGCAGACUCUGCGCUGAGCAUGGAGCCUGACGUGGGGCCCAAUCCACAACCCUGAGAUCAUGACCUGAGCUGAAACCAAGAGCUGGAUGUUCAACCGACUGAAAUACCCAGGUGCCCUGUUUUGCAUUUUUGACCUAAAAAAAUUUUAAAGAGGAGAAAAACUCACAUUUUAUGUUAUUAAAAAAAAUUUUUUUUAUUAACAUAUAAUGUAUUAUUUGUUUCAGGGGUGCAGGUCUGUGAUUCAUCAGUCUUACACAAUUCACAGCACUCACCAUAGCACAUACCCUCCCCAAUGUCCAUCAUCCAGCCACCCCAUCCCUCCCACACCCCACCAACCCAGCCAGCAGCCCUCAGUUUGUUUCCUGAGAUUAAGAGUCUCUUAUGGUUUAUCUCCCUCUCUGAUUUCAUCUUGUUUCAUUUUUCCCUCCCUUCCCUUAUGAUCCUCUGCCUUGUUUCUCAAAUUCCUCAUAUCAGUGAGAUCAUAUGAUACUUGUCUUUCUCUGACUUAUUUUGCUUAGCAUAAUACCCUCUAGUUCCAUCCACAUCAUUGCAAAUGGCAAGAUUUCAUUUUUUUUGAUGGCUGCAUAAUAUUCCAUUGUGCAUAUAUAUAAAUAUAUAUAUAUAUAUAUAUAUACCACUUCUUCUUUAUCCAUUCAUCUGUUGAUGGACAUCUAGGCUCUUUCCAUAGUUUGGCUAUUAUGGACAUUGUUGCUAUAAACAUUGGGGUGCACAUGUCCCUUCAGAUCACUACAUUUAUAUCUUUGGUGUAAAUACCCAGUAUUGCAAUUGUUGGGUCGUAGGGUAGCUCUAUUUUCAGCUUUUUGAGGAACCUCCAUACUGUUUUCCAGAGCGGCUGCACCAGCUUGCAUUCCCACCAACAGCGUAGGAGGGUUCUCCUUUCUCCGCAUCCUCGCGAACAUCUGUCGGAAAAACUCACAUUUUAAAUUUAAAAAUCUUACUUCUCUUAAAUUGACUGUUAGUUGAAAGGAAACUAGUUAGUUG